UCUACCACUAAGCUAUUGGCCUAGGCCUUUUUUCCUUUUUUUUUUUUUUUUUUUAAGUUUUUAAAAAUCUAUUUGUAUUUAGGGGGGUGUUCAGAUACACAUGCUGUGUUGUGCAUGUAGUGGUCACAGGACACCGUGUUUCUCUGUCCACCAUGUCAGUCCCAGCGUUUGACCUCAAAUUAUCAGGCUUGGUAGCAAGCACCUUUACCCACUAAGCCACAUCAUAGGUGUUUUUUUCCCCUCCAUUUUGGGGGAUCCUUUGUUGUUGUUUAAGACAGGGUUUUUCUGUAGCCCUGGCUGUCUUGGAACUCGCUGUGUAAACCAGAGUGCAGAGAUCCACCUGCCUCUGCCUCCCAAGUGAAGAUUAAAGGUGUUUAUGGCCACCCUUAGCUUUUUUGGUUGGGGAGGUGUCUUGUGUUGGGGGGACAGGGUUCUGCUGCGUAGCUCUGGCUGGCCUAGAACUCACUAUGUAGGACAGCCAGCCUCAGACUUGGGGUGGUUUCUUUACAUCUGCCUCCACCGUGUGUGGCUGUCAUAUCCUUUAAAUAUUAUGUCAGAAAUAAGUGACCCUUAGUUCAGUUCCCAGUGCCAGCAAAGAUGCAAGCCAGCCGCUCCUCUCCUUUGAUGACAACAACUUCCGCUUUGUAAGUCUGACUCAGGAUUAAGUGGUCAGGUAGGCUGGGUGCUAUGGUACAGGCUUUUAAUCUCAGCACUCAAGAGUCAGAGGCAGUGGAUCUCUGCGAGUUCAAGGCCAGCCUGGUUUACAUAGUGAGUUCCAGGACAGCCAGGCCUACACAGAGAGACCAGGUGGUUGGGGACACGCUUGCCUCAGAGCCUUUACUGUGUGGUUCUCUCUAACUGCCACACUCGGGCUCCCCUCAGAUAUCCACUAGGCUCAACCUGUGAAUGUAAGCUGCAGCUUGAAUUCACCACCUCCAGGAAAGCCCUCCCUGACUAUCCUCACUGUACAAAACAUUAUCACUCUUAACUACUCUAGGCACAGGGGCUCUCUAUGCAUUCCGGGCUAGCCUCAGACUCAAGAGCUUCUUUCUCCAACCUCAUGAGCACUACGCUUUCAGUGUGAGCUGCCCCUGCCUGGUGCCUUUCAGUAGGCAUUGUUUCUCCUGUUAAUAGUUAUUAUCUAUAUGACAUUAUGUGUAGUGUGCUGACUAUUUGUGGCAUGUAUCCCCCAACUACAUCAGCUCCCUAAGGGGAAGGAAUUUGUCUCGUCCUCCACUGUAUCUCCGUAUCCAUCCCCAGGAAGAGGACCUCAAUAGACAUUGAUCGAGCAUUUUAAAACACUUCGUAACAACUUCUAAGUAAGCAAGUUGGAGUUCAGGGGGUGAGUCAAUGGAACCGUGAGGGCCAGAGCUGAAGCCACAUAUAUGAUAGGCAGGAAUGGCAGCAAGCCUGUAAUUCCAGCCCUGGAAGGCAGAUAUGGAAAUCCCCACGGCAAGCUGACUGGGGGUGAGGGUGGGGGUUGGGGGUGGAGCCAGAUCAAUGAGCUCUGGGUUUGAUUGAACAAACCUGCCUCAAAAGACUGUAAGACUAAGCAGCUCCCAACAACUCUGAACAGCGACUUUGGGCUGCCAGCAAGUGUGCUUGCACACCCACACAUGCACGAAAGCCUGCGUUCCUAUACACAUGCACACAACACAUGAACAAGUAACAAACUUACUGCUCUGGUUUCACAGAAAGAGAUCAAAUUGAGAAUGUAGGUUGGGCUUCUGGCUGUUUCCACGCCUGCUGAGUGCGUUCCAAGCCUAACCGUUGACUGCAUUCUGUCCUCCCCAUUAACCGGGCAGUUAAUGGGCAACAAGUGCAAGUCAAGUAGAAGUUGGGCGUCUGAUUCUGUUCAACAUCUCCCUGUGUGCUUGCUGUGUGACUUCAGGUAGGGAAACGAACCUUUCUGAAUCCUAUAAACUCCCUAGGGAAGGGGCCAGUUAAGGUGGCUCAGUAUGUACAGAUGGCUGCCGUGGAAACCUGAUAAACUGACUUCGUUCCUGAGAACCCAUGGUGGAGACACUUCUGACUGAAACUUUCCUUAUGAUCCCAUGCUCAUGUGCGCGCGCACACACACACACACACACACACACACACACACACACACACACAGAGUAAGUAAACACUUCAGACAUGCUCUCUUGUUCCUCUCUUGCUUUCCUGCUCCCUACCCCCUCUUUCUCCACGUGCUCAUGGCUGGCCUCUUCUACUCUUCUAUCUUUCUCUCUCUACCUUUCUCUGCCUCCAUUACCCUCUUGACUCCUUUCCCCAUGCCCUGAAUAAACUCUAUUCUAUACUUUAAAAAAAACCUUCAGACU
rnacentral:lncRNA from 1 species